rnacentral:rRNA from 1 species
UACGUAGGGGGCAAGCGUUGUCCGGAUUUAUUGGGCGUAAAGAGCGUGUAGGCGGCCUUACAGGUCAGCUGUGAAAACUCGAGGCUCAACCUCGAGACGUCGGUUGAAACCGUAUGGCUAGAGUCCGGAAGAGGAGAGCGGAAUUCCCGGUGUAGCGGUGAAAUGCGCAGAUAUCGGGAAGAACACCCGUGGCGAAGGCGGCUCUCUGGGACGGUACUGACGCUGAGACGCGAAAGCGUGGGGAGCGAACAGG